GAUGAACGCCGGCGGUGUGCCUAAUACAUGCAAGUCGUACGCGUUGGCCCAACUGAUUUGAAGUGCUUGCACGGAUCUGACGUUGGUUUACCAACGAGUGGCGGACGGGUGAGUAACACGUAGGUAACCUGCCCAGAAGCGGGGGACAACACUUGGAAACAGGUGCUAAUACCGCAUAACAAUUCAAAUCGCAUGAUUUGAAUUUGAAAGAUGGUUUCGGCUAUCACUUCUGGAUGGACCUGCGGCGCAUUAGCUUGUUGGUGGGGUAACGGCCUACCAAGGCAGUGAUGCGUAGCCGAGUUGAGAGACUGAUCGGCCACAAUGGGACUGAGACACGGCCCAUACUCCUACGGGAGGCAGCAGUAGGGAAUCUUCCACAAUGGGCGCAAGCCUGAUGGAGCAACACCGCGUGAGUGAAGAAGGUUUUCGGAUCGUAAAGCUCUGUUGUUGAAGAAGAACGUGCAUGAGAGUACUGUUCAUGCAGUGACGGUAUUCAACCAGAAAGUCACGGCUAACUACGUGCCAGCAGCCGCGGUAAUACGUAGGUGGCAAGCGUUAUCCGGAUUUAUUGGGCGUAAAGAGAGUGCAGGCGGUUNCUUAAGUCUGAUGUGAAAGCCUUCGGCUCAACCGAAGAAGUGCAUCGGAAACUGGGAAACUUGAGUACAGAAGAGGGCAGUGGAACUCCAUGUGUAGCGGUGGAAUGCGUAGAUAUAUGGAAGAACACCAGUGGCGAAGGCGGCUGCCUGGUCUGUAACUGACGCUGAGACUCGAAAGCAUGGGUAGCGAACAGGAUUAGAUACCCUGGUAGUCCAUGCCGUAAACGAUGAGUGCUAGGUGUUGGAGGGUUUCCGCCCUUCAGUGCCGGAGCUAACGCAUUAAGCACUCCGCCUGGGGAGUACGACCGCAAGGUUGAAACUCAAAGGAAUUGACGGGGGCCCGCACAAGCGGUGGAGCAUGUGGUUUAAUUCGAAGCUACGCGAAGAACCUUACCAGGUCUUGACAUCUUGCGCCAACCCUAGAGAUAGGGCGUUUCCUUCGGGAACGCAAUGACAGGUGGUGCAUGGUCGUCGUCAGCUCGUGUCGUGAGAUGUUGGGUUAAGUCCCGCAACGAGCGCAACCCUUGUUACUAGUUGCCAGCAUUCAGUUGGGCACUCUAGUGAGACUGCCGGUGACAAACCGGAGGAAGGUGGGGACGACGUCAGAUCAUCAUGCCCCUUAUGACCUGGGCUACACACGUGCUACAAUGGACGGUACAACGAGCAGCGAACUCGCGAGGGCAAGCAAAUCUCUUAAAACCGUUCUCAGUUCGGAUUGCAGGCUGCAACUCGCCUGCAUGAAGUCGGAAUCGCUAGUAAUCGCGGAUCAGCAUGCCGCGGUGAAUACGUUCCCGGGCCUUGUACACACCGCCCGUCACACCAUGAGAGUUUGUAACACCCAAAGUCGGUGGGGUAACCUUUUGGAGCCAGCCGCCUAAGGUGGGACAGAUGAUUAGGGUG
rnacentral:rRNA from 2 species